rnacentral:rRNA from 1 species
GACGAACGCAGGCGGCGUGCUUAACACAUGCAAGUCGAACGGUGAAGCGCCUUCCUUUUUGGUGGGUGUGGAUGAGUGGCGAACGGGUGAGUAACACGUGAGUAACCUGCCCCCUUCUUCUGGAUAACCGCAUGAAAGUGUGGCUAAUACGGGAUAUUCUGGGUCUGUCGCAUGAUGGGUCUGGGAAAGAUAUUGUUUCGGUGGGGGAUGGGCUCGCGGCCUAUCAGCUUGUUGGUGGGGUGAUGGCCUACCAAGGCGGUGACGGGUAGCCGGCCUGAGAGGGUGGACGGUCACACUGGGACUGAGACACGGCCCAGACUCCUACGGGAGGCAGCAGUGGGGAAUAUUGCACAAUGGGCGCAAGCCUGAUGCAGCGACGCCGCGUGAGGGAUGGAGGCCUUCGGGUUGUGAACCUCUUUCGCCAGUGAAGCAGGCCUGCCUCGUUUGUGGGUGGGUUGACGGUAGCUGGAUAAGAAGCGCCGGCUAACUACGUG